AGAGAUGUAGCUCAAUGGUGGAGCCCUUGCCUAAUAUGCAAGAGGUCCUGGGUCCAAUCCCCAGUACUG
rnacentral:tRNA from 1 species